GUUGUUGUAGUAUAGUGGUGAGUAUCCCCGCCUGUCAUGCGGGAGACCUGGGUUCGAUCCCCGGUAAUGACG
rfam:Ipomoea nil DNA, scaffold: scaffold2701, cultivar: Tokyo-kokei standard.